AACGAACGCUGGCGGCAGGCUUAACACAUGCAAGUCGAACGGGUGUAGCAAUACAUCAGUGGCAGACGGGUGAGUAACACGUGGGAACCUUCCUAGGGGUACGGAACAACUCAGGGAAACUUGAGCUAAUACCGUAUACGUCCGUGAGGAGAAGGAUUUAUCGCCCGUAGACGGGCCCGCGUCGGAUUAGCUAGUUGGUGGGGUAACGGGCUACCAAGGCGACGAUCCGUAGCUGAUCUUAGAGGAUGAUCAGCCACACUGGGACUGAGGCACGGCCCAGACUCCUACGGGAGGCAGCAGUGGGGAAUCUUGGACAAUGGGCGCAAGCCUGAUCCAGCCAUGCCGCGUGAGUGAAGAAGGUCUUCGGAUUGUAAAGCUCUUUUGCCAGGGACGAUAAUGACGGUACCUGGAGAAUAAGCCCCGGCAAACUUCGUGCCAGCAGCCGCAGUAA
rnacentral:rRNA from 1 species